UAAGGAAUAUUGCUCAAUGGGAGAAAUCCUGAAGCAGCAACGCCGCGUGGAGGAUGAAGGGUCUAUGACUUGUAAACUCCUGUAAAGAAGGAAAAAAUUCCCAUUUGAUGGGAGAUGAUGGUAUUUCUGGAGUAAGCCCCGGCUAACUACGUGCCAGCAGCCGCGGUAAUACGUAGGGUGCGAGCGUUAAUCGGAAUUACUGGGCGUAAAGCGUGCGCAGGCGGCUUUGUAAGACAGAUGUGAAAUCCCCGGGCUCAACCUGGGAACUGCAUUUGUGACUGCAAGGCUAGAGUGCGUCAGAGNGAGGUGGAAUUCCGCGUGUAGCAGUGAAAUGCGUAGAGAUGCGGAGGAACACCGAUGGCGAAGGCAGCCUCCUGGGAUGACACUGACGCUCAUGCACGAAAGCGUGGGGAGCAAACA
rnacentral:rRNA from 1 species